UACGAAGGGGGCUAGCGUUGCUCGGAAUCACUGGGCGUAAAGGGUGCGUAGGCGGGUCUUUAAGUCAGGGGUGAAAUCCUGGAGCUCAACUCCAGAACUGCCUUUGAUACUGAGGAUCUUGAGUUCCGGGAGAGGUGAGUGGAACUGCGAGUGUAGAGGUGAAACUUCGUAGAUAUUCGCAAGAACACCAGUGGCGAAGGCGGCUC
rnacentral:rRNA from 1 species